AAUAAAUGGUUGCCUUUUCUAGUUUUCUUCCUUUUGCCAAAAAAUAUGUCUAACUAUAGGAUGCUAUUACUCUUUUCUUUUAAAAACAUAAUUUUUAAUCUUCAAAAUUUUUAGAUCUUCAAUUUUUCUCACGUUCAUAGUUUUCUAUUUGAUUAAAUCCUAAAUUCCCAUUUUCGUUGCUCUUUUAAGGAAAUGGAAAAUUAGGGUUUGGACAAACACAGAUCUGGAGAAGGCUUCAAAGUUCGGCCAUGUCCACGGCGACCCGAUUGGAAGGAGGUAUUCAACUUCAUAGGACUUGCGGUGGUCACCAUUGACAGAUCGUAAACGCUAUGCUUUAACUCCACUAAGAAGUUUUACCGUUAAUAAAAUAAAGGUGAGAAGUCUUCAUAAAAAAGAUGAGAAGUCAAGUCUUCAAAAAUAAAGAUGAGAAGAUGGAGUGCAUACAGAUUUUUUUUUUUAGAAGAUGAGAAGAUGGAGUGCAUAUAGAUCUUUGUAACUAGUUUCUUUUUAUUUUCCUUUGAUAUCUUGUUAUAUUCUUAUUUGUUUUUACAUUAAUUGUAUAAACUUUUAUGCUCUUGUAGUUUAGACUUCAAUUUUA